rnacentral:rRNA from 1 species
CGAACGGGUGAGUAAUACAUCGGAACGUGCCCUGUAGUGGGGGAUAACUAGUCGAAAGAUUAGCUAAUACCGCAUACGACCUGAGGGUGAAAGUGGGGGACCGCAAGGCCUCAUGCUAUAGGAGCGGCCGAUGUCUGAUUAGCUAGUUGGUGGGGUAAAGGCCCACCAAGGCGACGAUCAGUAGCUGGUCUGAGAGGACGAUCAGCCACACUGGGACUGAGACACGGCCCAG